GACGAACGCUGGCGGCGUGCUUAACACAUGCAAGUCGAACGGAAAGGCCCAGCUUGCUGGGUGCUCGAGUGGCGAACGGGUGAGUAACACGUGGGUGAUCUGCCCCUGACUUCGGGAUAAGCUUGGGAAACUGGGUCUAAUACCGGAUAGGACAAUCGUUUAGUGUCGGUUGUGGAAAGUUUUUUUCGGUUAGGGAUGAGCCCGCGGCCUAUCAGCUUGUUGGUGGGGUAAUGGCCUACCAAGGCGUCGACGGGUAGCCGGCCUGAGAGGGUGGACGGCCACAUUGGGACUGAGAUACGGCCCAGACUCCUACGGGAGGCAGCAGUGGGGAAUAUUGCACAAUGGGCGCAAGCCUGAUGCAGCGACGCCGCGUGGGGGAUGACGG
rnacentral:rRNA from 1 species